GAAACUAAACUCAGAUUUUAAUUGAACAGAAAGUAUUAUUCAUGACAAUUUUUUUUCUAAGAUAAAUGAAGUAGUCCUUUAAAAAUACUCCACUUUUAGAAAUGUUAGACAUUUAUUCAUUUUCUUACUGGUAGCUCUUUUCCUGGCUGUAAUAAGAAUAUGCACAAAUAAUUGUACAUUUUGAUUUUGAAUAUUACAACCCAAAAUUCAAAGUGAUUUUUUCAUAUAGGUUAGGUACCAUUGGAAGUAUAAAAUAGCAAGCAAGUGAACAUUUUUCCUGUGAUAUAUACAUAAAUAUUUUCAUGUAAACAAAAGCAAAUAUUAAGUUAAGUAUCCUUGUCAGCAACUGAAAUACAUAGAUUUAAAUGGUUGUUUUAUUUUUUCCAUGCUUCCAUUGAACACAACUGGCGUAAAGAGCAAUAGGAAUUGGAUGAAUCUUUGCAUUCCCCUUACUCUUCAGGAGGUUACAUACAAUAAAGAUACCUCUCAUCUAGAAAAGAAAAUAUGAGAGGAAUCAGAUU
rnacentral:lncRNA from 1 species